AGUGAACGCUGGCGGUAGGCCUAACACAUGCAAGUCGAACGGCAGCACAGUAAGAGCUUGCUCUUACGGGUGGCGAGUGGCGGACGGGUGAGGAAUACAUCGGAAUCUACUUUUUCGUGGGGGAUAACGUAGGGAAACUUACGCUAAUACCGCAUACGACCUACGGGUGAAAGCAGGGGAUCUUCGGACCUUGCGCGAUUGAAUGAGCCGAUGUCGGAUUAGCUAGUUGGCGGGGUAAAGGCCCACCAAGGCGACGAUCCGUAGCUGGUCUGAGAGGAUGAUCGGCCACACUGGAAGUGAGACACGGUCCAGACUCCUACGGGAGGCAGCAGUGGGGAAUAUUGGACAAUGGGCGCAAGCCUGAUCCAGCCAGACCGCGUGGGUGAAGAAGGCCUUCGGGUUGGAAAGCCCUUUUGUUGGGAAAGAAAAGCAGCAGGUUAAUACCCCGCUGUUCUGACGGUACCCAAAGAAUAAGCACCGGCUAACUUCGUG
rnacentral:rRNA from 1 species